CCUACGGGAGGCAGCAGUGAGGAGUAUUGGACAAUGGGCGCAAGCCUGAUCCAGCCAUGCCACGUGCAGGAAGAAGCAUCUAUGGUGUGUAAACUGCUUUUGUACAGGAAGAAACACUCCCUCGUGAGGGAGCUUGACGGUACUGUAAGAAUAAGGACCGGCUAACUCCGUGCCAGCAGCCGCGGUAAUACGGAGGGUCCGAGCGUUAUCCGGAAUCAUUGGGUUUAAAGGGUCCGUAGGCGGUUUAAUAAGUCAGUGGUGAAAUCUGGUCGCUCAACGAUCAAACGGCCAUUGAUACUGUUAGACUUGAAUUAUAAGGAAGUAACUAGAAUAUGUAGUGUAGCGGUGAAAUGCUUAGAUAUUACAUGGAAUACCAAUUGCGAAGGCAGGUUACUACUUAUGGAUUGACGCUGAUGGACGAAAGCGUGGGGAGCGAACAGGAUUAGAUACCCUGGUAGUCCACGCCGUAAACGAUGGAUACUAGCUGUUCGGAGCAAAUCUGAGUGGGNGUAGACGAAGUAGAUAAGUAAUACCACCGUACGGGAGGUACGUUCGUCGAAGAAGUAGAAACGUAACGAAAGUAAGUAGUUAGUACGGACGUAGAGACGACGACCGACGACGACGACGGAGGGAGGGAGG
rnacentral:rRNA from 1 species